AGAGUUUGAUCCUGGCUCAGAGCGAACGCUGGCGGCAGGCCUAACACAUGCAAGUCGAACGAACUCUUCGGAGUUAGUGGCGGACGGGUGAGUAACACGUGGGAACGUGCCUUUAGGUUCGGAAUAGCUCCUGGAAACGGGUGGUAAUGCCGAAUGUGCCCUUCGGGGGAAAGAUUUAUCGCCUUUAGAGCGGCCCGCGUCUGAUUAGCUUGUUGGUGGGGUAAUGGCCCACCAAGGCUACGAUCAGUAGCUGGUCUGAGAGGAUGACCAGCCACAUUGGGACUGAGACACGGCCCAAACUCCUACGGGAGGCAGCAGUGGGGAAUCUUGCGCAAUGGGCGAAAGCCUGACGCAGCCAUGCCGCGUGUAUGAUGAAGGUCUUAGGAUUGUAAAAUACUUUCACCGGUGAAGAUAAUGACUGUAGCCGGAGAAGAAGCCCCGGCUAACUUCGUGCC
rnacentral:rRNA from 1 species